rnacentral:rRNA from 1 species
GACAUAGGUCGCAAACGUUAUCCGGAAUUAUUGGGCGUAAAGGAUGCGUAGAUGGUUCAGUAAGUUACUGGUGGGAAAUCGAGGCCCAACCUCGUGGAAGUUAGUAAUACUGUUGAACUUGAGUGCAGGAGAGGUUAACGGAACUUCAUGUGGAGCGGUAAAAUGCGUAGAUAUAUGAAAGAACAUCAAUAUAGCGAAGGCAGUUAACUAUUCUGCUACUGACAUUGAGGCAUGAAAGCGGUGGGGAGCAAAACGG